rnacentral:rRNA from 1 species
UACGAAGGGGGCUAGCGUUGUUCGGAAUUACUGGGCGUAAAGCGUGCGCAGGCGGCUUCUCAAGUCAGGGGUGAAAGCCCAGAGCUCAACUCUGGAAUUGCCUUUGAGACUGAGUGGCUUGAGUACGAGAGAGGUGAGUGGAAUUCCCAGUGUAGAGGUGAAAUUCGUAGAUAUUGGGAAGAACACCGGUGGCGAAGGCGGCUCACUGGCUCGUAACUGACGCUGAUGCACGACAGCGUGGGGAUCGAACAGG